rnacentral:lncRNA from 1 species
CCCAGAUUUCUUGCAGUAUCUCCAAAAUAAGGGCCCGGUGCUUUGCUCAAAACUAAUUCUUGGUCUGAAAAUAAGGGGUCUAGGCACUGUGGCCUGAUUAGACCCAAUUGAGUGCUUGUUUGCAUGAGCAUUAAAAGACAUAGAGUCUGGACUGAUUUGAGAAAUAGAUUGAACUUGUCUCUGUUUCUCAUCAUUAAGGACUAUGUUGUAAACACUGUCAAGGGAAGGAAAUGGCUGCAUCAUCAACAAAUUACUCCUAAUCCCCAUGUAUGCUUCAUUUAACCCCAUAAGAAACUGGAAUACCUUGUUUUCAUCAUCUUCCUCAAUUAUUCCAUUUUAGCAGUACACACACAUCUCUGCCCAUGAUUUGUGCACAUUAAUAGAGUCUGGAUUGAUUUGAGAAAUAGAUUGAACUUGUCUCUGUUUCUCAUUAUUAAGCACAAUGUUGUAAACACUGUCAAGGGAAGGAAAUGGCUGCAUCAUCAACAAAUUGCUCCUAACCCCCAUGUAUGCUUCAUUUAACCCCAUAAGAAACUGGAAUACCUUGUUUUCCUCAUCCUCCUCAAUUAUUCCAUUUUUAGCAGCACACACACAUCUCUGCCCAUGAUUUGUGCACAUUGUGACUCCUAACCCCCAUGUAUGCUUUAUUUAACCCCAUAAGAAACUGGAAUACCUUGUUUUCAUCAUCUUCCUGAAUUAUUUCAUUUUUAGCAGCACACACACAUCUCUGCCCAUGAUUUCUUCACAUUGUGCCCAACUCAUCCCACAGGCCUUUGAGCCUGUUAAAGUAUGAGUCUACGUCUAAGCAGCCUUGAGAUGUGUGGGAAAGUUCCCUUUUUAAUUCAAAGAUUUUGGUCUUGUUAGAUGUACCAUAUCUUUUCUCAAUUUGGGAUCAUAUACUCUGUGCAGUAUCGGAAUACUGCACACUAUUAGCAAUUUGAGGAGACAGGGAGGAGGUCAACCAGGAAAUGACCAUGUUAUUACAUCUAUCCCANNNN